rnacentral:rRNA from 1 species
AAGGAGUAGGUAGCUUAACCUUCGGGAGGGCGCUUACCACUUUGUGAUUCAUGACUGGGGUGAAGUCGUAACAAGGUAACCGUAGGGGAACCUGCGGUUGGAUCACCUCCUUACCUUAAAGAAGC